CCUGCUUCUCAUGCUGAGCUUGUUUGCAUUUCUCUGCCUCCUUCAGUUAAGAUAACGAUAAGCUCUGUUAUCGUGCUGAAGUUAAGCAUCUGAAAGGACACUUAAUCUGUUUCAACUUGAUCGUGUAGCAGCUCUAACUUGGAAAAGCACUGGGCAGUAUUUGAGUACAGGGAACUAUGGCAGCAGAUGAAUCCUCCCCUCUGUGAAGAAGAUGCAAGCAAGUUUUUGGAAAAAGGAGUAGUCUGAAAACAUUUCAGAUGAAAAAGGGGGGUUAUUCAAGACAUUGGCUGGUACCAUCCUUGUUGAAAUCCACUGUGGAUUGAAGAACAGCUGUCUCUGGAGAUAUCCAUCAACAGUUUCAUUCUCAUCAACUAUAUCACUUCAAGAUAUUCCUUGAACUGUUAAGACUCACCCUGAAUAUGAUCAGACUCAUCCCAAUCGGACUCAUCCGUAGCUGAGCUCCAGCGACCCCGAACAGCAGAAGAAAAACAUUCCAAGUGGAAGCUUGGUUUCAUACACGUCAUUUUGGAGCACAGAGAAAGACAUCUGUCUUAGAGGUAAGUCAAUGACAUCUGGUAUUUCUUAUUAGGACAGUCUACAAAUAGCAUAAAUCUUUAACUGAUAGUGUAAGUCUAGUCAAUGGGGCCACUGACACUGCAGGUAAGUUAGGGAUCCUGCCUACAAUUCUGUAUUUUUCUUUCCCACCUGCCCUUCUGGAGGGUCUGGAG
rnacentral:lncRNA from 1 species